ACCUACCCAAACAUAGUUGUAAAAAUAGCAAUUACAAGUUGCAUGCUCAUGAAAUCACUGCUUGUGUGUCACUUGCAAGCAAAUGGAUUAUUCAACCCACACAAAACUUUUUGUUUUUCUAUAGUAUCUAACGAUGCAUACUGUUUGGCAUGCAUAUCACUGUCAAAAACAAAUAUUCAUGAUAUACAUUUCUUUAACCAAAUGUCACAAAUUAAACUUUCCAAUAAAGACAAAUUGUCAAGAUUUCACGAAUGCAGGAAUGUUAUACAUUUCGUCGAGAAAAGGUACAAGUCUGGAGAGUAA